UACGGAGGGUGCAAGCGUUAUCCGGAUUUACUGGGUUUAAAGGGUGUGUAGGCGGACUUUUAAGUCCGUGGUGAAAUCUCCGGGCUCAACCCGGAAACUGCCAUGGAUACUAUUGGUCUUGAAUAUUGUUGAGGUGGGCGGAACGGGUCAUGUAGCGGUGAAAUGCAUAGAUAUGACCCGGGACACCGAUUGCGAAGGCAGCCCACUAAGCAAUGAUUGACGCUGAGGCACGAAAGCGUGGGGAUCAAACAGG
rnacentral:rRNA from 1 species